AGAUACCCGGGUAGUCCACACCGUAAACGAUGAAUGCCAGACGUCAGGGGGCCUGCCCUUUGGUGUCACACCUAACGGAUUAAGCAUUCCGCCUGGGGAGUACGGUCGCAAGAUUAAAACUCAAAGGAAUUGACGGGGGCCCGCACAAGCGGUGGAGCAUGUGGUUUAGUUCGAAGCAACGCGCAGAACCUUACCAACCCUUGACAUCCUCUGACCACCUGAGAGAUCAGGCUUUCCCUUACGGGACAGAGUGACAGGUGCUGCAUGGCCGCCGUCAG
rnacentral:rRNA from 1 species